GAUGAAGAACGCAGCGAAAUGCGAUAAGUAGUGUGAAUUGCAGAAUUCAGUGAAUCAUCGAAUCUUUGAACGCACAUUGCGCCCCUUGGUAUUCCAUGGGGCAUGCCUGUUCGAGCGUCAUUUGUACCUUCAAGCUCUGCUUGGUGUUGGGUGUUUGUCUCGCCUCUGCGUGUAGACUCGCCUUAAAACAAUUGGCAGCCGGCGUAUUGAUUUCGGAGCGCGGUACAUCUCGCGCUUUGCACUCAUAACGACGACGUCCAAAAGUACAUUUUUACACUCUUGACCUCGGAUCAGGUAGGGAUACCCGCUGAACUUAAGCAUAUCAAUAAGCGGAGGA
rnacentral:misc_RNA from 1 species